CCGGCGGCGGCGGGAGACCGGCGGUCGACGGCCCCGAGCAGCUCCGGCCGCGCUCGCAGGCGGACGGCGGCCACACCACCUCCUACAGACAAGAGUAUCGUCCAUGGACUGGAGCAAAACCAUCCAAGCCUAUAAAGUCAAAACAAGGCUUCAUUAUCCCAGAAGACCAUUUUGUUCAAGAGACAAGCUACAAGGCAGACUUUAAGAUCCCAGAGGUGAAGACCAGAUUCUCCCCCAACCCUUCUGCUGUUUUCCAGGCGCCAUCGCGGAUCCUCAACGUGUGAACCUGGACCCUCCUCACACCCAGACAGCUUAAAUGCAGAGUUUCUGUUAAGAUGUAUCACUAUGCAACUUUCAUGAGGAGUGUUAAGAUCAAAGAACCGGUGUUAUCAAAAGCAGCUCCAGUGAUUAAUGAUGUGCACACACACUUUCUGUUAACACAACAAACCGCAAAGCGCUUGGUUCAGAACUGGCAAACACGCUGCGAGGAGUGACCUAGUUUUUCACAGGAGCAGGUUCAUUACUAUGCCAGCUGGCGUCACAUUAGGAGAUUGACUUUGGGCAGCAAAGGCAGGAUUGCAGGCAACAUCCCUACUCAGAAAUACACAGGGUAGGAGGGAAAACAAUUGCAAGCAGGAUGGAUAAUUAAAACCCAAACCAGUUUUAUUUAGCAACACCCUCUAAGUAGGCUGCUGAAAGACAGGGAGUAGUUUGGCUGACUUCUGACAUUCUUGAGGGGUUUUGGGAGUAGGACCUCAAAUGGCAUCACCAGAAAGUAGAGCUUUGAAGGGGCUGGUCUGAACUUCCAGAGUUGUUUUAGAAGCUGGAGGAAGCCAAUGUCAUUGAACUCUAAAAUAAAUCUGGCACAUGCAGUGUCUUGGGCCUUUAAGGCUGGGAAGCUGGAUAUUACCAAAAUUGGAGAGCAGAUGCAGGAGCAAGAGAGGACCACUCCAGGAGACAGCCCUGACAGCAGUGCACCAAACUGGUUUGGAGAAGAGUGCAUGGAUACAGCCAGGCACCCACCAGACUCCUCCAGAGGAUCUAGGAUACUUACAUAAUUUGUACAGCUGUUAGGGUGACUGUAAAUAUUGUACAUGGAUUUUACCUAAAGCAAUUUGUGAUCCUUUAAUGAAAAGGAUAUGCUUAUACUUUUAAUAAAUGUUAACUCUUUGCAUAUGCAAGGUGGAAAAUAUUGCCUUGAAAUUCCUAAAUUAUCGCCUGUAUAUUGGUAAUGCUAAUGCUAGGAACAACCACAAGCGAAUGUUACUUAGAAAUUCUUCUUAAAGAAAAAUGUAAUGUAGAAUGUAAGCCAUCUGUCAUUUUUAAGAUAGGCCGUUUCAAAUGUCAUUGUUCUGAAGCUGAUUUUUUUAGACUGCUGCAUAUUUAACUUUUGCUGAGGUACAUGUGUUUUAAGAAAACAUUUUUUUAGCCUUUGUUCAUUGAGACUUUACAAUUUCUAUUUCGAUAACUUAUGCAAUAUAAUUAGUCUACUGCUUAUUUAAUGGAUUUACUAAUUAUUUUGGAAAAAAAAAAUUGAAAAACUCUUACUUUGUGUUUGCAACACAUGUGUGUUGUCCAGAACAAAGGGAAACUAUCCUCAGACUUUAACAGUGAUCAGAUAUUCAUUCAUCUGUAAUGAAACAGACUUUCAACACAGGAGGACUUUUUCUUGAACUUCUUACUAAUUGAAGUCUAAAGCAAAUUUAAUGAACUUCAGGGAUUCUGCAGGAAACAUAUGCAUUGCUGAUAAUUCCCAUAAGAACAAUUUUUGAGCUGUUGGCAUGUGAAUUGUACUUGCAAUACAUGCAGACAGCAUCUUCUCACUGCAUUAUGUGAGAAUUUAAUGGUGUUCACUGUAGUGGGACUGAGCACAACCACCAGAACAGGGAACACCUGCAGUAAUCUGCAUUUGGCUGGGACAAGGGAUGGAUCUUCCCACACUCAUCCUUGGAGAAACCUGCAGUAAUCCCAGUGCUUGCCAAAAUAAUUUUUCAGGAAAUUCAUUUUUCAGGAAAUUCAUUGAAGCAUUCAAACUGUGCUAAAAGUUUUGCAUGUUAGAUGUUUCUAAGAAUUCAAUCUGCUUGUUUAAUCUCUUUAUAACGUUUUUAGCAGUUUUGUUCAAACAAUUUAAGUUCAUUUCAAUCCUGGACUUUAUUAACAGCAAGGGGAAAAAAAGUAAAAAGGAAAUUGUCUAUUAUCUCUUCUUAAUUGACUGUAUUUCUUAAAAAUAUGACCCAGGUUUAAACAAAUCGGUAAUAUAGUAAGCUUGUAUUUUAUCAAAUGGACUGGAUUUAAUUUAAUAAAUUAAAAUGUAUUUUGGCUA